rnacentral:tRNA from 1 species
AGGGAUAUGGCGCAAUGGUAGCGCACUCGACUUUUAAUCGGGCUUUUGUAGGUUCGACUCCUGCUAUCCCUA